rnacentral:RNase_P_RNA from 1 species
GGAGGGAGAGGAGGUCGCGGACGGGUGCCUUGCGGCGCGCCGUUCGAGGAAAGUCCGGGCUUCACAGGGCACGGCGCCGGGUAACUCCCGGGCGUCGAGAGGCGACGGAAAGUGCAACAGAGAACAGACCGCCGAUGGCGCGUGUUUGCCCUCCGGGGCGGCGGCGCACAGGCAAGGGUGAAACGGUGGGGUAAGAGCCCACCGCGUUUCCUGGAAACAGGGACGGCAUGGUAAACCCCGCCGGAAGCAAGGCCAAGCAGGAACCAGUGGCGGCCCGCCGCGCACGAGUUCCGGGUAGGCCGCAAGAGGCCUCGGGAGACCGAGGUCCCAGACAGAUGACCUCGGGCCGGCGCGAGCCGGUCAACAGAACCCGGCUUAUCUCCCUCCAUGC